UGGAAGCAAGACCAGCUAGGGAGUUUAUUUUAUGUAAAAUAUAAACAUGUUAACAGGAGAAAAUACUGUUUUCUUAUGUUACAACCUUAAUAACCAACAUGAGAUCUAUCUUACAGUUCUGCAGGUAGUGCAGGGUGUAAUUACAAGUACAUGAUUAAAAAGAGCAGGUACUCAACUGUACACAUACACCAUGUGUUGUACGCUUUACCAGAAAUUCAGUACUUUUAUGUGUUCCCAAUUGCGUGACUAAUAAUUCUACUACUUCUUAAUCCAUUUAAAAAACUAGCACAAAAUAUUUAAGUAGUUUUAUUAUGAUUGCAUCAUUUUGACAAGGUAGAGAGGGACUCUGUAUUUACAAACAGAUAUACAUAUUCAAAGCCUCCAAAAAAACAGCCCUUUCCAUAUUUCUGCUGCUUUUCUUUCUUCUCCCCCCUACCUUACACUUAUACAGCAUAUGGUGACUUUACUCCUAAAGAUUCAUGGAUAAGUUAUUGAGCUUGUGUUAGGUCUUCUUUAACAAAAGCCACUGAAGCUUGAAAAUUGUUUCCAGGAAAAGCACUCAAACCUGUGUCAUGGCUGCCCUGAUGUUGCUCUUGCUGUUAGAAUGCGAGUUGAGAGAGGACUAGGAAACAAUUUAGUAUGUGAACAUAGUCCAACCUGGGACAUUUGCAAACAUGAACACAUUGCAAAUACAAAGCUGAUGUUUAAACUCAGCGUCUUUCAGGAAUGUAUAUCUAUUAAUGAGAUUUUGCGGAGCAAGGAGAGACAGGUUGGAAAUAUUUGUUAUCUACUAUGGCAAGUAAGAUUUAGUGAAUGGCAAGGUGUCUUCACAAAGGGUUUGCUUCUGCCACUUUGGAACCCCCAGGAGAAGGAUUGGGAUUAUCUAGAGGACAGAGCACCAACUUCAGCUGGAUGUAAGCUGAGGGUUAGGAAGCUACAUGCCAGCAGCCAGCAGCCAGACGUACCGUGCUACCACAGAAAAGUCACUUACCCUUUAAUAACCUCGUAUAUAGUGAAGUUGCCACCUGCAACACCCUUCGCCAGAAGCAUUAGGCUAUUAAAUUGACCAUUGUGAAUGGCACACAUAGGUUAAUUAUUUUAAAUUGUGCAAUAGUCCAGUUGUGAUAACCAAAUGAAGCAAAAUCAUUAAAGAAUUAUGGCAACUGUGAGACCAUGAAUAAAGGGAGUUAUAUGCAGUUUCAUACUAACGCAUUCAGGCAAAGCCAGCAAGCAAACCUCCUAGGGGGUAAAGAAUUAUUAGAGUGUAAAAAGGUGUGGGUUUAGCCCAGAUGGUCCCAUCAGGUGGGCACAUACUUCCUGAUAGGUGUUAUGUGACCUUGUGUUCAAAAGGACUGUGUUAAUCUGAGUAAGCCUUUUGGACAGGUUCAAGAAAUCUCUUUGAAGUAGUGCAUGUUAACUGGAAAGAAAUUAAAAGAGUGUCUAUUGAGGUUUCCCAAGGACUAUUGAAAUAUUAAGUGCCAUGUUAAAUUGUGAAGAAAUACCUCAGCAACAGAACUGAUGCAACAGGAAAAAGCCCUGGACUUUUAAUUGAUCAAAGAGAGUACAAUAUCUAAAUAACUAAGAAUAACCCUUCCAUUAACAACAAAGAAAGUCAGUGGCUUUCUGAUAUCGAUACCACAGAUGCUGGCCUCUGAAAACCAUCCAAUGCCUUUGCUAGAUGGUGUGGUUUUUUUUAGACCAGCACUUUUCCUACUUCAUUUUCUCUUCCCUUGAUAUUUGGAUAGAAGGAAGAUGCAAAAAGAUUGCUCUCCUUGCUAGGACUUACACAAGGGCCAAGAAUAAAUGAAGCAGUUAAGAUUAUUCACACGUGAGACUAUACAGAACGCAGCUAAAAUGGCAAACAGAACAAUAUCUGCAUGAUCAGCUGAUUGACAGCUAACUCUGUGUUUGGUAAAGGGAUUUCUCUUGUGAGAAGCGGAGUUUUUCUAAAUUAUAGUCAUUGAUAACUGUGCCACAGAUUAAAGUAAUUCUUGGACAGGUUAGCAGGUAGAGAGCAAUAAGGGCUGUGCAAUGUGCACUGUGAGUGCAAUUCAUCAGGUACAUACUGCUAUGUGUAGCGGACGCAUAGUAAAUACUGCAUCCUUGUUAUGUAUGAACAAAUUUGGGCUUCCCAAGUUUACAACCCAGCUAGGACCACAAGCCUAAAAAUGGAAAUUGGGUUGUAACUAGAGGCGUUGGAUCAUAAGCAAACAGCUGCAAAUGCAAAAAGACAAAGGCAAAACGAUAAGCUGAUUGGAAUUUCACAAGAUUGAAAUUGUUUCUUAAAGUGCUAAGGUUGAUUACAUUUUAAAAAAUCAAAGUACAUAAAAAUUAGAACAGAAAACUAAUAAUAUUAACUACAUAAGUUAUUAUACAAAUACAAUAACAGACCAACAAAAAAGAAAUAAAUUAAAACAAACACUAGCAAAGAACAGGUACACAGCCAAAACGUCUUAAAAUUUCUAGUACACAUUCAGCUGUAAGAUAGCGCUAACGCUUGCCAGCCACUGACAGCAAAAAAAGACCUGAAACAAGAAGGGUCUGCUGCUGAGAGGCAUCAAACCACUGGCAGCUGCAAGCCGUCGGCUCCGGUCCCAAGUACCUGAUGCUGUAACAGAUGGGUGAAUGAAAUGUGAUGUCUGAAGAUAAAAGACAGGUUGUGGUGACACUUUAGGACCCACCAAGUAACAUGAAUUUCAGUUUCAGCUUAGUUAGGUCUUUGAUAUCUUUAUUAAAUCUAAUACAAAGGAAACACCUACUGCUUUAUUUUCUUUACUCCAGCUGCUAAAGGAACAAUACUUUCAAGAUGUAGUCUACUUCUCUGAGGUAACUGUAAAUUAUUAAAAUAAAAUUGACAGGAAUAAUUUUGGGACUUAGUUUUUCAACAAUGUGUUCUGCUUCACUGGUAUGGCUUUUCCAUUACUCCCAUCUUCUGCCUCCCUCUGCUAUGUCCCAAAAAUAGAAAUUGCAUAAAAUCCUGACAGCCUGUUCUGUGAAACAUAAAAGUUGAGGUCUGAGCUCAUCCUCCAAGAUAACUGAUUCAUCAGCACUGCAGUGCUUCAAUUGGGUUCGGUGGAAAAACAGCAAGGACAUUUCUUUUUUCUAAGUAAGAACAUAGUAAUAAGAUUUAUAAAUGGACUACUCAUCCCAGCAACAGCACGUGAAACAAGUAGAAAACUUCAGAUGUCA
ensembl:lncRNA